GGGGGUGACAGGUUUCGACCGCGUACGUUGCGGCAGGAGAAGCGAGCCGAGGAAGUCGACGCCGUCUCGUUAAUCGACGUCGAAAACCAAUAAGCGCCAAGGUUAAUCGCGCUGACCUCGCUCUCGCCGCCUGAGGCGAGUAGCAGGUCUGUCGGUCUAGGGACGCCUACGCCCUAGUUCACCGGCAUCAGUUAGUAGGCUGGCCAAUCCGGUCCUGUCGCGGGGCUGGUGCGGUGAGAUCAAUCGCGACUGGGCCUGCCACACCGACUCGCUCGCGUGAUCGGAGGGGCCGAGAGAGGCACAGCGAGCUGCGCUCGGAGAAGCCCUGCCAAGGCGGCGAGGGACCGGGGUUCGAUUCCCCGCACCUCCACUU
rnacentral:tmRNA from 1 species